CUGGAAGCGAGCGGACGGGGAGCGGCUUCAAAGGAAACAUCUGCCAGCUUGCGGGGUCUCCUACGACUGCGUCGGGCUUAGGCUGGAAAAUGCAGACAGGGUUUCACUAUGUUGCCCAGGCUGGUCUCUAACUCCUGAGCUCAAGCUAUCCGCCCCCCACCCAGUCUCCCAAAGUGCCAGGAUUACAGGCGUGACCCACCUCGCCUGGUGGAAAGGUACUUUCAACUAAUAAAAUCACACUUAUUAAAA